AACGAACGCUGGCGGCAGGCUUAACACAUGCAAGUCGAGCGCCCAGCAAUGGGAGCGGCAGACGGGAUAGUAACACGUGGGAACGUACCUUUCAGUUCGGAACAACCAAGGGAAACUUUGGCUAAUACCGAAUACGCCCGUAAGGGGAAAGAUUUAUCGCUGAAAGAUCGGCCCGCGUCUGAUUAGCUAGUUGGUGAGGUAAUGGCUCACCAAGGCGACGAUCAGUAGCUGGUCUGAGAGGAUGAUCAGCAUCACUGGGACUGAGACACGGCCCAGACUCCUACGGGAGGCAGCAGUGGGGAACAUUGGACAAUGGGCGCAAGCCUGAUCCAGCCAUGCCGCGUGAGUGAUGGAGGCCUUAGGGUUGUAAAGCUCUUUCGUCAGGGAAGAUAAUGACGGUACCUGAAGAAGAAGCCCCGGCUAACUUCGUGCCAGCCGCCGCCGUAAAAC
rnacentral:rRNA from 1 species